rnacentral:rRNA from 1 species
CAAGGAAUCUUCCGCAAUGGGCGAAAGCCUGACGGAGCAACGCCGCGUGGGGGAGGAAGCCCUUCGGGGUGUAAACCUCUUUUCUUGGGGACGAAAGACUGACGGUACCCGAGGAAGAAGGACCGGCUAACUACGUGCCAGCAGCCGCGGUAAUACGUAGGGUCCGAGCGUUGUCCGGAGUUACUGGGCGUAAAGCGCGCGCAGGCGGCUUCAUAAGACUGGCGUGAAAGCCUCCGGCUCAACCGGAGAGGGUCGUCGGUGACUGUGGAGCUUGAGGGUGGCAGGGGCUGGUGGAAUGCCUGGUGUAGUGGUGAAAUGCGUAGAGAUCAGGCGGAACACCCGUGGCGAAGGCGGCCAGCUGGGCCAUCACUGACGCUGAGGCGCGAAGGCGUGGGGAGCG